rnacentral:tRNA from 1 species
CUUCAAACAAAAGGGAUUCUAACCCCUACCCCUAACUCCCAAAGCUAGGAUCCUAAUUU